AGAGUUUGAUCCUGGCUCAGGACGAACGCUGGCGGCGUGCUUAACACAUGCAAGUCGAGCGGUAAGGCCCUUCGGGGUACACGAGCGGCGAACGGGUGAGUAACACGUGGGUGAUCUGCCCUGCACUUCGGGAUAAGCCUGGGAAACUGGGUCUAAUACCGGAUAUGACCUUCGGCUGCAUGGCUGAGGGUGGAAAGGUUUACUGGUGCAGGAUGGGCCCGCGGCCUAUCAGCUUGUUGGUGGGGUAAUGGCCUACCAAGGCGACGACGGGUAGCCGACCUGAGAGGGUGACCGGCCACACUGGGACUGAGACACGGCCCAGACUCCUACGGGAGGCAGCAGUGGGGAAUAUUGCACAAUGGGCGAAAGCCUGAUGCAGCGACGCCGCGUGAGGGAUGACGGCCUUCGGGUUGUAAACCUCUUUCAGCAGGGACGAAGCGAAAGUGACGGUACCUGCAGAAGAAGCACCGGCCAACUACGUGCCAGCAGCCGCGGUAAU
rnacentral:rRNA from 1 species